UGCCAGGGAAGCAGGCGGAAGCAGCGAAGGAGGGACAGCUACGAAGUCAGGAAGGAAGGCCACAGAAACCCCAAUCAUUUUUUUGGGGGGGGGGCACAUGGAGCAGUCGGCGGAGCCGAGGAGGGAACCAGAGCCAAUCCAGGAGAAGAGAGAUAAGGGAGAGUUGUUGAGUUGGUGGAGGAUGCACGGAUUCUUCCCAAAGGAAUGUGUUAUCAGUUUGGUGCCACCUGAGUCAGCUCCCCGUACUCGCCCUGAGGUGCGUGUUACCAGUCUGGCGCCACCUGUACCUGCUCCACGCACCCGGCCUCCAGUGAGUCUCUCCAGUCCGGUGUGUCCUGUUCCUGCUCUCUGUACUCGCCCUGAGGUGCAUGUUACCAGUCUGGCGCCACCUGUGCCAGCCCCACGCAUCAGGCCUCCGGCGACAGUUCCCAGUCCAGAGCUUCCGGUGACAGUUCCUAGUCCAGAGCUUCCGGCGACAGUUCCCAGUCCAGAGCUUCUGGCGACAGUCCCCAGUUCGGUGAGACCUGUUCCGGCUCCACGUAAGAAGCCUCCAGUGAUGAUCCAUGGUCCGAAGCCUCCAAUGAUGAUCCAUGGCACGAAGCCUCCAGUGAUGAUCCAUGGCCCGGAGCCUGUAGUGAUGAUCCAUGGCACGAAGCCUGUAGGGAUGAUCCAAGGCCCGGAGCCUGUAAGGAUAAUCCAUGGCACGAAGCCUCCAGUGAUAAUCCAUGGCCCGGAGCCUCCAGUGAUGAUCCAUGGCACAAAGCCUCCAGUGGUGAUCCAUGGCGCGGAGCCUGCAGUGAUGACCCAUGGCAUGGAGCCUGCAACGACGGCCUACAGUCCGGAAUCUCAUGAGACGGCCUACAGUCCGGAACCUCCUGAGACGGCCUACAGUCCGGAACCUCCUAAGAGGGCCCACAGUCCGGAGCCUGCGGUCCGGAGUCUCCGGCGGCGGCCUGCAGUCGGGAGCCUCCGGCGGCGGUGGCCUGCGGUCCGGAGCCUCCAGCGGCGGCGGCCUGC
rnacentral:lncRNA from 8 species